AGAGUUUGAUCAUGGCUCAGAUUGAACGCUGGCGGCAGGCCUAACACAUGCAAGUCGAGCGGUAGCACAGAGAGCUUGCUCUCGGGUGACGAGCGGCGGACGGGUGAGUAAUGUCUGGGAAACUGCCUGAUGGAGGGGGAUAACUACUGGAAACGGUAGCUAAUACCGCAUAACGUCGCAAGACCAAAGUGGGGGACCUUCGGGCCUCAUGCCAUCAGAUGUGCCCAGAUGGGAUUAGCUAGUAGGUGGGGUAACGGCUCACCUAGGCGACGAUCCCUAGCUGGUCUGAGAGGAUGACCAGCCACACUGGAACUGAGACACGGUCCAGACUCCUACGGGAGGCAGCAGUGGGGAAUAUUGCACAAUGGGCGCAAGCCUGAUGCAGCCAUGCCGCGUGUAUGAAGAAGGCCUUCGGGUUGUAAAGUACUUUCAGCGGGGAGGAAGGCGAUAAGGUUAAUAACCUUGUCGAUUGACGUUACCCGCAGAAGAAGCACCGGCUAACUCCGUGCCAGCAGCCGCGGUAAUACGGAGGGUGCAAGCGUUAAUCGGAAUUACUGGGCGUAAAGCGCACGCAGGCGGUCUGUCAAGUCGGAUGUGAAAUCCCCGGGCUCAACCUGGGAACUGCAUUCGAAACUGGCAGGCUAGAGUCUUGUAGAGGGGGGUAGAAUUCCAGGUGUAGCGGUGAAAUGCGUAGAGAUCUGGAGGAAUACCGGUGGCGAAGGCGGCCCCCUGGACAAAGACUGACGCUCAGGUGCGAAAGCGUGGGGAGCAAACAGGAUUAGAUACCCUGGUAGUCCACGCCGUAAACGAUGUCGAUUUGGAGGUUGUGCCCUUGAGGCGUGGCUUCCGGAGCUAACGCGUUAAAUCGACCGCCUGGGGAGUACGGCCGCAAGGUUAAAACUCAAAUGAAUUGACGGGGGCCCGCACAAGCGGUGGAGCAUGUGGUUUAAUUCGAUGCAACGCGAAGAACCUUACCUGGUCUUGACAUCCACAGAACUUAGCAGAGAUGCUUUGGUGCCUUCGGGAACUGUGAGACAGGUGCUGCAUGGCUGUCGUCAGCUCGUGUUGUGAAAUGUUGGGUUAAGUCCCGCAACGAGCGCAACCCUUAUCCUUUGUUGCCAGCGGUUAGGCCGGGAACUCAAAGGAGACUGCCAGUGAUAAACUGGAGGAAGGUGGGGAUGACGUCAAGUCAUCAUGGCCCUUACGACCAGGGCUACACACGUGCUACAAUGGCGCAUACAAAGAGAAGCGACCUCGCGAGAGCAAGCGGACCUCAUAAAGUGCGUCGUAGUCCGGAUUGGAGUCUGCAACUCGACUCCAUGAAGUCGGAAUCGCUAGUAAUCGUAGAUCAGAAUGCUACGGUGAAUACGUUCCCGGGCCUUGUACACACCGCCCGUCACACCAUGGGAGUGGGUUGCAAAAGAAGUAGGUAGCUUAACCUUCGGGAGGGCGCUUACCACUUUGUGAUUCAUGACUGGGGUGAAGUCGUAACAAGGUAACCGUAGGGGAACCUGCGGUUGGAUCACCU
rnacentral:rRNA from 2 species